rnacentral:rRNA from 1 species
AUUGAACGCUGGCGGCAGGCCUAACACAUGCAAGUCGAACGAGUGGCGGACGGGUGAGUAAUGUCUUGGAAACUGCCUGAUGGAGGGGGAUAAGUACUGGAACCGGUAGCUAAUACCGCAUACCAUCAGAUGUGCCCAGAUGGGAUUCGCUUGUUGGUGGGGUAACGGCUCACCAAGGCGACGAUCCCUAGCUGGUCUGAGAGGAUGACCAGCCACACUGGAACUGAGACACGGUCCAGACUCCUACGGGAGGCAGCAGUGGGGAAUAUUGCGCAAUGGGCGAAAGCCUGAUGCAGCCAUGCCGCGUGUAUGAAGAAGGCCUUCGGAUUGUAAAGCUCUUUAAGUUGGGAGGCGUUACCAACCGAAUAAGCACCGGCUAACUUCGUGCCAGCAGCCGCGGUAAUAC